rnacentral:rRNA from 1 species
UUGUAAUUUGUAGAAGGCGCUUCGGGCGCCUCCCCGGCCCAAGUCCCUUGGAACAGGGCGUCGCAGAGGGUGAGAAUCCCGUACGCGGCCGGUGGACAGCCCGUGUGAAGCCCUUUCGACGAGUCGAGUUGUUUGGGAAUGCAGCUCUAAACGGGUGGUAAAUUUCAUCUAAAGCUAAAUAUCUGCCGGAGACCGAUAGCGCACAAGUAGAGUGAUCGAAAGAUGAAAAGCACUUUGAAAAGAGAGUCAAACAGUACGUGAAAUUGUUGAAAGGGAAGCGCUUGCAACCAGACUCGGUCGCGGGUGCUCAGCCGUCCCUCGGGGCGGUGCACUCUCCCGCGCUUCGGGCCAGCAUCGGUUCUGGCGGCCGGACGAAGGCCCCGGGAACGUAGCUCUCUUCGGGGAGUGUUACAGCCCGGGGUGCAAUGUGGCCAGCCGGGACCGAGGACCGCGCAUCUGCCAGGAUGCUGGCGUAAUGGUUGCCAGCGACCCGUCUUGAAACACGGACCAAGGAGUCGACCAAUCGGGCGAGUUUUAGGGCGUUAAACCCUGAAGCGCAAUGAAAGUGAACGCAGGUGGGAACCCUCGGGUGCACCAUCGACCGAUCCUGAUGUCUUCGGAUGGAUUUGAGUACGAGCCCGGCUGGUCGGACCCGAAAGAUGGUGAACUAUGCGUGAAUAGGGUGAAGCCAGAGGAAACUCUGGUGGAGGCUCGCAGCGGUUCUGACGUGCAAAUCGAUCGUCAAAUUUGCGCAUAGGGGCGAAAGACCAAUCGAAUCAUCUAGUAGCUGGUUCCCGUCGAAGUUUCCCUCAGGAUAGCAGCAACGAAAACAGUCUCAUGAGGUAGAGCAAACGAUUAGAGGUCUUGGGAUUAAAAUUAAUCUUAACCUAUUCUCGAACUUCGAAUAUGUGAGAAGUCCUUGUUACUCAGUUGAA